AACGAACGCUGGCGGCAGGCUUAACACAUGCAAGUCGAGCGCCCCGCAAGGGGAGCGGCAGACGGGUGAGUAACGCGUGGGAAUCUACCUAUCACUACGGAACAACUCCGGGAAACUGGAGCUAAUACCGUAUACGUCCGAGAGGAGAAAGAUUUAUCGGUGAUAGAUGAGCCCGCGUAAGAUUAGCUAGUUGGUGGGGUAAUGGCCUACCAAGGCGACGAUCUUUAGCUGGUCUGAGAGGAUGAUCAGCCACACUGGGACUGAGACACGGCCCAGACUCCUACGGGAGGCAGCAGUGGGGAAUAUUGGACAAUGGGCGCAAGCCUGAUCCAGCCAUGCCGCGUGAGUGAUGACGGCCUUAGGGUUGUAAAGCUCUUUCAACGGUGAAGAUAAUGACGGUAACCGUAGAAGAAGCCCCGGCUAACUUCGUGCCAGCCGCCGCCGUAAAAC
rnacentral:rRNA from 1 species